AGCCAUGCGAGUCGUUGUAGCAUACAAGGCGGACGGCUCAGUAACACGUAGUCACACCUAACCUAUGGACGUGGAUAACCUCGGGAAACUGAGAAUAAACCGCGAUAGAUCAUAAUGCCUGGAAUGGCAUAUGGUCCAAACAAUUUAUUGCCAUAGGAUGGGACUGCGGCCUAUCAGCUUGUUGGUGAGGUAAUGGCCCACCAAGGCUAUAACAGGUACGGGCUCUGAGAGGAGAAGCCCGGAGAUGGGUACUGAGACACGGACCCAGGCCCUAUGGGGCGCAGCAGGCGAGAAACCUUAGCAAUGUGCGAAAGCACGACUAGGUUAAUCCGAGUGGUUCCUGCUAAAGGAACCUUUUGUCAGUCGUAAAACCCACAGAUGAAUAAGGGGUGGGCAAGUCUGGGUGUCAGCCGCCGCGGUAAUACCAGCACCCUCGAGUGUCAAGAAGGUUUAUUGGGGCCUAAAGCAUCCGUAGCCCGGCUAUGCAAGCCCUCCGGUUAAAUCCAACUGCUCAACAGGAUGGGGCUGGCCGGAAAAAAUUACAUAGCUAGGGAGCGGGAAGAGGAAGAACGUUAUUCGUGGGGAGGGGUAAAAUCCCUGAUCCAUCGAGGACCACAGUGGCAAGGCGGCCUUCAAAACCCUUCCACGUAAGGAUGAAGCUGGGAACAACCGGAUUAAUACCGGUAGUCCACUGUA
rnacentral:rRNA from 1 species